CAGCAUAUAUACUAACCCCCUAAAUGUGUGGGUUUAUUUGUGAAGAUAAUAGUAAGCCUUAUUUUAUAUGUUUGUGGCUUUACUAACAGCAAUCUUCCAGAGAAAGCACUUAAAUGAAAUUCAGGAAAACUGAGGCUGAUAUAUUAGUUCUUCACUGACUUUAAGCAAGCCUGGAUCCUCUAUGUCAUUUUCUCUUUAAAGAAAUAGAAAUGGUUAGAAUUUGGCAGUGGAGUUUGCAUAAUCCCUUGAAUUCAGGAAGGGUAGAUCUUAAUGCACGUUUGCCUUCUUGUAGACAAAUCUGAAAAUCCAGAUUUUUACAAAACCAAAGUAGUAAUUGUUGGCUUUAAAGGUCUGCUUCCUAUAAGAUGGUUUUACCACCCCCCCAAAAAAAUCAAUUUAUGCACAACUCUCUUGUUACCACAACUAUGGUCUAUGUCAGCUUAUUGAAGGAAUUAAUGGAAAAAUUGUUCUAAAUUUCAUUCUGUACAUUUGCAUUUCUUUAGGCAAAAUGGUACUAAAACAAGACAUUCCUGCAGCAUACUAUUCAGUUCAUCAUUGUUCCAAGUUAUGGAAAGAGUUAAGUUACUAUCUAACAUAGGGCAAAAAUAUGAAAACCACAGGGAAAGCCAAAGUGCUUAGUUUGAUAAUAAUUUAAUGUGGAUCUAACCCCUUUUCUCUCAUUUGGAAAAUUUCCAAACAGGUCACAUUUUAAAGGCAACAAAUUUGAGCAGAAAGAAUGAGUUAUGUAUGUUGGGGGAGGAGAAAAGUAGAAAUACUUUUAAUUGUGUAAUCUAGAGGAGCACUGCCAUAGAAAAUUAUUAUGAACUAAUAGCUGAGUUUUUAAAUGGGACAUUUAAUAGGAAUAAGAAUAGCAUUUUCAGUUAAAAUAAGUAAGAUCAAAUCUUAGACUGUCUGGGUGAGUUGAACAGACAGUCUAAGUUUAACCA
rnacentral:lncRNA from 10 species